AAACUGCGAAUGGCUCAUUAAAUCAGUUAUCGUUUAUUUGAUAGUACCUUACUACAUGGAUACCUGUGGUAAUUCUAGAGCUAAUACAUGCUAAAAACCCCGACUUCGGAAGGGGUGUGUUUAUUAGAUAAAAAACCAAUGCCCUUCGGGGCUCCUUGGUGAUUCAUAAUAACCUCUCAGAUCGCAUAGCCUUGAGCUGGCGACGGUUCAUUCAAAUUUCUGCCCUAUCAACUUUCGAUGGUAAGGUAUUGGCUUACCAUGGUUUCUACGGGUAACGGGGAAUUAGGGUUCGAUUCCGGAGAGUUAGCCUGAGAAACGGCUAACACAUCCAAGGAAGGCAGCAGGCGCCCAAAUUACCCAAUCCUGAUACAGGGAGGUAGUGACAAUAAAUACUGAUAGGGAGCUCUUUUGGGUUUCCUAAUUGGAAUGAGUACAAUUUAAACCUCUUAACGAGGAACAAUUGGAGGGCAAGUCUGGUGCCAGCAGCCGCGGUAAUUCCAGCUCCAAUAGCGUAUAUUAAAGUUGUUGCAGUUAAAAAGCUCGUAGUUGAACCUUUGGCCUGGCUGGCAGGUCCGCCUCACCGCGUGCACUUGUCCGGCCGGGCCUUUUUUUCUGGAGAACCGCAUGCUCUUCACUGGGUGUGUUGGGGAACCAGGACUUUUACUUUGAAAAAAUUAGAGUGUUCAAAGCAGGCCUUUGCUCGAAUAUUACAGCAUGGAAUAAUAGAAUAGGACGUCGGUUCUAUUUUGUUGGUUUCUAGGACCGCCGUAAUGAUUAAUAGGGACAGUCGGGGGCAUUAGUAUUCAAUGGUCAGAGGUGAAAUUCUUGGAUUCUUUGAAGACUAACUACUGCGAAAGCAUUUGCCAAGGAUGUUUUCAUUAAUCAGUGAACGAAAGUUAGGGGAUCGAAGACGAUCAGAUACCGUCGUAGUCUUAACCAUCAACUAUGCCGACUAGGGAUCGGGCGGUGUUAUUAUUUUGACUCGCUCGGCACCUUACGAGAAAUCAAAGUGUUUGGGUUCUGGGGGGAG
rnacentral:rRNA from 1 species